rnacentral:snoRNA from 12 species
CAGAAUACAUGAUGAUCUCAAACUUGAACUCUCUCACUGAUCACUUGAUGUUAGAAAAUAAGAUCUGAUAUUCUG